rnacentral:rRNA from 1 species
GACGAACGCUGGCGGCGUGCUUAACACAUGCAAGUCGAACGGAAAGGCCCUGCUUUUGUGGGGUGCUCGAGUGGCGAACGGGUGAGUAACACGUGAGUAACCUGCCCUUGACUUUGGGAUAACUUCAGGAAACUGGGGCUAAUACCGGAUAGGAGCUCCUUCUGCAUGGUGGGGGUUGGAAAGUUUCGGCGGUUGGGGAUGGACUCGCGGCUUAUCAGCUUGUUGGUGGGGUAGUGGCUUACCAAGGCUUUGACGGGUAGCCGGCCUGAGAGGGUGACCGGCCACAUUGGGACUGAGAUACGGCCCAGACUCCUACGGGAGGCAGCAGUGGGGAAUAUUGCACAAUGGGCGGAAGCCUGAUGCAGCAACGCCGCGUGCGGGAUGACGGCCUUCGGGUUGUAAACCGCUUUCGCCCGUGACGAAGCGUGAGUGACGGUAAUGGGUAAAGAAGCACCGGCUAACUACGUG